rnacentral:rRNA from 1 species
GUAGUCCACGCCCUAAACGAUGUCAACUAGUUGUCGGGGAUUAAUUUCCUUGGUAACGCAGCUAACGCGUGAAGUUGACCGCCUGGGGAGUACGGCCGCAAGGUUAAAACUCAAAGGAAUUGACGGGGACCCGCACAAGCGGUGGAUGAUGUGGAUUAAUUCGAUGCAACGCGAAAAACCUUACCUACGCUUGACAUGCCAGGAAGCUCGCAGAGAUGUGAGUGUGCCCGAAAGGGAACCUGGACACAGGUGCUGCAUGGCUGUCGUCAGCUCGUGUCGUGAGAUGUUGGGUUAAGUCCCGCAACGAGCGCAACCCUUAUCCCUAGUUGCUACGAAAGGGCACUCUAGGGAGACUGCCGGUGACAAACCGGA